GCCUCCUUAGCUCAUUUAGUUAGAGCGCAGGUCUCAUAUCUCUAUAUGAGUAACAUGUGUUACGCAAGCCUGAGGUGGCAAGUUCGAUCCUUGCAGGGGGGCA